rnacentral:rRNA from 1 species
AUUGAACGCUGGCGGCAGGCUUAACACAUGCAAGUCGAACGAGUGGCGGACGGGUGAGUAAUGUCUGGGGAUCUUCCCGAUAGAGGGGGAUAACUACUGGGAACGGUAUCUAAUACCGCCUCCUAUCGGAUGAACCCAUAUGGGAUUAGCUAGUUGGUGAGGUAAUGGCUCACCAAGGCGACGAUCCCUAGCUGGUCUGAGAGGAUGAUCAGCCACACGGGGACUGAGACACGGCCCAGACUCCUACGGGAGGCAGCAGUGGGGAAUAUUGCACAAUGGGCGCAAGCCUGAUGCAGCCAUGCCGCGUGUAUGAAGAAGGCCCUAGGGUUGUAAAGUACUUUCAGCGGGGAGGCGUUACCCGCAGAAGAAGCACCGGCUAACUCCGUGCCAGCCGCCGCGGUAAUUC